rnacentral:lncRNA from 1 species
ACAGGAUCGGCGCUGAGCGUAUGAGCGGCCACAGUUGGUGUGCUUGUGUGAGUCGCUGCGUGGAAUAAACGCAAAAAACUGAAAUUGGAAAAAUUCGUUAUGCAUUUUUUGCCAUUGCCCUCCGCUGCCACUCCAAAUGUAAAAAUGCUUGUAUGUGUGCCGUUUUUUACUUAUUUUUUAUUUCGCAAUUUUGCAUGUGUGCGUGUGCAAUGUGAGGGGUUGAUUUAUGUUUUUUUUGAAAGUUUCCACCACCAUUUUUUCUCACUUUUUUGACUCACUUUUUUCUAGGGCAAUAUACCCUUCGGGACUGCUACUGCCAUGAAGUGGCACUUUCUGUUGCAAAGCAAAGCAAACAACAAAAACGCGCAACUUCAACUUGUUACGGCGCACAGUGACGCGUGUGUGUGUGUUAGUGCAUUACAAGGAGCGCAAGAGUGAAUCCUUGCUACGAGAGCAAAUGCGCCAGUGCGCAUGCCCAACACUUGACGGAGCUGAUGGCUGUGACUUGGCAUGUGACUGUGGGUGUACGUGUGUGUGUGUGUGUUAACGCCUCAACUCUGCUCAGCAGCGUAAGCGUAAAAUAUGCGCUCUACAAUUGCGAGUCGACUCAACUCCCCUCACUUGCCACCACAAGCUUAUGCGUACAACUACAUAUGUGUGUCGUGCCACGAGGGGGUGGCAAAUACGCUUUCGUUACUCGCUGCCACUUCCAGUCGACACACAAGCGCUUGCACUGGCUCAGUGUCAUCGGCGUUGGCGUUGGCGUCGGUGUCGGUGUCGACGUCUUCUUCAAGUUGCUUCGCACUUUCGCGCUUUGUUGUUUGGUGCGGGCUUGGCAAAGUCGUUUGCGGACAGUAGCAGUCGGGCAUUGUGCCUGACUGGUGCGUCGCGUCUCAAUCAUCCGCCGCCCAUUCGCGCACUGCCUUUGCCAACUGCCAUAACGGUCGCGCGCACACGCACACACACACACACACAUAAAGACACUUGUAAUAUUUCGCGUAAAAAGGCAACUGAGUUAAUAUUUCUUCACGACGUGGCGAGCGUUUGUUGGGAAUUCGCUGUACAACUUUGCACGCAUAGCGACGAUUUUUUUUGCGAGUCCUCACACAUCUCGAUUGCCGCUGUUGAUUGCUUCCUUGGAGUCUGUGAGUUGCCGCCGCUGCUGCCAACGCCUGCACCGCCCGCCGCGCCACCCUGCCAUGCUGUCGCCCCCGUCGCUGGCUCGCUGGCUGGCAUUGAUGGAGCCGUUGAAGAUGAAACGCGAAGACGCGCUCCCAAAUUGUUUAGCGAUUCAGUGGUGAUAAGGCGCCAGCAACUGCCGAAGAAAAGGAAUCUGUUCUGUUCGCAUUGCGUGCAAUAUAAAUUGAAAUUUCAUUCCUCAACGUGAGGCGCAUCCGAAAGGUUGUCGGCGGCUUUGCAAUGGUACACGUUUGGGGAUUGCCCCAAGAUGCCAUCAAAGAACUCAUAAAAAAUACAAGUUGAGACAAUAUUUAACUUAACAGUACUGUUGUGAAUUGUGUGUCUAGAAAAUAUUGUGCGGCCAGCAGAAAAAAACAAAAAAAAAUUUAAAAAUUUAAUAACUGAAAGCGUAACGUUUUUAAAGUGGCGUUUGAGCGUGUUAACGAUUAUUUUUCAAAAAAAAAAAAAUAUUGCAAUAACGUUCUUUGAAAAUACAAAUUAAAAAAAAAUGGAUUUAUGACAAUAAUUUUGUGCAAAGCGAUGGUGACGUUACAAUGCCUUUGAUUUGAGUGAUAUUAAAAUUAUAGACCAAUUUCUUACAGAUGCCCGAGCUCGAAGAAUACUCUGCAAGUUUAGAAAUAAAAUAAGAACAACCAAUCAAUAUGGAGGAAUGGCACUAGGAGAGGGGCUAUGAACACAAUUAUGUGAUGUUUUGGUGGUAUAAAUGGAGGUAUUAGGCCAAUGUGUUGAGAAAAGUUACUAGUCCUCGACUACACUCAGAGAUGCGCAAACUUCGACAAAAACUGAAAUCCGAAAAUUCGAAAUGAGAGUGCAUGAGAAGUUCCACGUCGAGACAGUGCCGGUAAGAAGAGAGCAGUCAACGGAUUGACAUAAAAUCACUUAAAGAGACAUGUAAUCAUGCUAGUAUUAAGAAUUUAAAGAUAUCUUUGCAAGAAUCACCAGAAAAUGUAUAUAUAUAAUUAUCUCUUCACCUAUGUAUGUAUUUGUGUAUAAUAUAAAAAUUUUUAUAUGAAAAAUAUAUUAUUAAAUUUAUUUUAGACACAUGCCUAU